UUUUAGCUGGGGGUUUAAAUUCUCUUGACGAAACAGAUUACUCUACAGAAAGGUGGACAGAAAUUGUUAAGUAUUAUGAAGAGAUGGGAAAGCCAAUACCAAAGUUUGAAGUAAUGAAGUAUUUGAAGAGUAAAGAAUAUACAGAUGCUAAGGAUUUCGCUGGGGAAUGCGAGUCUGUUGUCAUGAUUGCCAAAGGACAGAGCGUGCAAGGAACGUGCAAGUAUGGAACACGAGUGGAUUACAUACUUUCAUCAUCCGAUUCACCAUACAAGUUUGUUCCAG
rnacentral:misc_RNA from 1 species